rnacentral:rRNA from 1 species
UACGUAGGGUGCGAGCGUUGUUCGGAAUCACUGGGCGUAAAGCGCACGUAGGCGGAUUUGUAAGUCAGGGGUGAAAUCCCGGGGCUCAACCUCGGAACUGCCUUUGAUACUGCGAAUCUUGAGUCCGAUAGAGGUGGGUGGAAUUCCUAGUGUAGAGGUGAAAUUCGUAGAUAUUAGGAAGAACACCGGUGGCGAAGGCGGCCCACUGGAUCGGUACGUGACGCUGAGGUGCGAAAGCGUGGGGAGCAAACAGG